CAAUCCGGAUUCAAUACGAUCCUUGGAAUCGGGUCUGUUUUGAAAGUGUUGCUUAUCAUAAGGUGUGUAUCAGUGAAUAUUUUGGCUACAAUCGCCGCUUUCGUUGGAUGCGUUUUUCUUCGAGGCUGUUUUUAAUUGUUCAGAUCGCAGUUUUUUAAUUCUCACAACUUUCUUCUCUUACGUGGAAAUUGAAAAGGAAAAGAUCAAGCCGUUCGUAUGUACAUAGCAUAUUAAUGACCUGUAGUCCGUUUACAAGGAAACUUGACAGUCGAACAAAUCGAAAUGAUUCCAGUUGUGGACCAAACUGGUAGCUAUCAAUGGCGAUGAAACAGUUUGCACAAGUGAAACAGUCAAAUCUACCUACAGCCGAUUGGUGCCUAUCGCACAAUCAGUCCAUAUCGUAUCAGUGCACAAACAAUAUUGUAUUGUUGCGGAGUGAAAUGAGUUUGCCAAAUGAAACAAAAGUGCCCGUGCUACGGGAUAACACGAUUUCGAUCAACUUUAAUAAAACUCAUGUUAGACCCACAGUUCAGGAAGUGGAGCAAUUAGUAAAAGUGAAAAUGGAGCUUAAUCUCGCUGAAGUUGCGUACAUUCAGCUGCAUCACGUUUAAAACUGUGUUUCGAUCACGUUUAGAAGCUUAGCACAGGCCGAAAACUUAAUUGCAAAGAACAACAUGCAACACGAGGUCAAAUUUAAUAACACCAGAAUAAAGAUCCCCGUGCAUAUGGAAAACGGCAUGGUGGACGUGCGUAUCCAUCAUUUGUCCCCGCGCACUAAGAAAGAUGACAUCAAACAAAUCAUGUCGCAAUAUGGAGAAGUAGAAUCUAUUACGAAUGACACCUGGAGAAUUUUUUUCACCGGCAUUCCAAACGCCGUUCGUAUUAUGAGGAUGCGAGUGACUAAACCAAUACCUUCUUACAUGACUAUCGAAUGCAAAUCACCGAGGGACGGCGUAACCUAUAAGCAAACAACGGUAAUCGCAUAUCCAUGGUAGACCCCAAUAUGCUAAUUCUGUAACCAUACAGCCCACUACAGAAAAACAUGCGCCGAAGCAACUAGUCAAAACUCAUCUACUACAGCCAACUCUAACAAGCAGCUACCGACACCUUCAGAUAAACCAAAAACAACGAUCCAAUUAACCAAUAAUGCAUGUACAACGACCACGACAACCGCUCCCAAACCAACAACUAACAUCGCCAAUAAAGAAGAAAAUACCGAUGAAGACGGAUUUACAACAGCGAGCCGCAAGAACAAGAAACAAAUAAGAACCUAUGAUCGUGAACAGCAAGAAAGCUGUACCGAUGAUGACAUGGACGGGAACGAUAACGCGAGAGAAGGCAGACUGAAUGACCCCCAAGCGGCUUCACCGCCAAGGAAAAAGAUCUCAACACGCAGCAGCAAACUGCGUCAACAAGAUCUGAAAGACCGACAUUCUUAGCAUUUUAUUUUUUUAUUUUUACUUAUUGUAAAAAAUUAAAAGACCCGCGGCUUUUAAAACGCACUGGUGAACAUGGUUUAAAAGUUAAGCGAGGGUGAACAAAUCGUUCCCAAGUGCUCACUCUCUAACUGGUGAUUGAGGAACCAAUUCAGGGUCAAUGGAAACAGUACCUAAACCACGAUUAACAUGGCUUCACGCCUGGACGCUGAACGGCGACUAACCUGCUGAAUUUAGCAUCAUACAUAACAGGGAGUAUGGAAGGUCGCGCUCAAACUGAUAUUAUUUACACCAGCCGAUCCGCUGUUUUUUCUUAUAAUAAAUGAUAAAAUGGAGAAAUGUGUAAUCAACGGUAGUUUUUGCAGAUGUUUCGAUCCUUAAUUUCAAAUCGAGAUAUAAUGAUUGUCAUUGGAGAUUGCCAGGUACUUAUUUUUAAAUCAGGAAUAGCGUAGGGAGUUACUUGGGACCGUUUACGUUUCUAGCUUACUUCAAUGACGUGUGUUAAGUGCUGAUAACUCCUCGCCUGUCAUGCACAGAUGAUUUCGUUUCAUCCGCUAAAUUCAUAUGAGAAAAGAGCUCGGAGAUCGAAUUCUCAUGAGACUUUUUGGCUGAGCUAUGCCUGCCCGACCCCAGAAAUGUACUACUGCAGUAGCUCUGCCUGCCAGAACCUGGAACUUUUUACCUGUCUAAAAUCUAGGGAGCAGGCACAAUCGAUUAAGAGGUGAUGGGUGUAGGUAGUUCCCUUUGAACUGUCCUGGUUUUUUACUCGCCCUAUGGCUGAUCCAAGUCGAGAUCGCCGAUUCAUGAUAAAUAAAAUAAGAUUUUUAUAAGAGGCUAUUGGGCACAAGAAGUGGUGCCACCGUCAGCUAGUAAAUCGAAAAUAAGCCCAGCAUGGGCGUAUUUCGAUAAAAUUGAGGACAAUAAAGUGCGCUGUAAACUAUGCAAUUUGUCGAUCAGUUACUGCCGGAAUACAACAAAUAUGUUGAACCAUCUAAAAAACAAACAUUAGAGUCUCAGUCUACACGCAAGAUUAGCGCAUCCAGAUGCAACUACUGCUACAAAUGUCGAUGACGAGGGUGGCAAAGAUGGUGCAAUAGCAUCUGGUACUGAUUCUGACUCGGAAAUUGAAAGAAGCGAUUGUCAAAAGGCUGCUAUCAUUCGCAAACAACAGCUACAGCCAUCCAUAGUGGAAGCUAUAGCCGUCCGUUAGCGUUUGCUGCUGAUGGCCCGAGAGGAAUGCAGGUAACGAAUGCGUUAAUAUAUUAUAUCACCAAGGAUAAUCUGUCACUGAAUGCAGUGGACAAACCUGGAUUUCGACGUUUUAUAAAAACUGUGUGUCCUUUGUACAACUGCCCCCAUGAGACCCAGUUUACCAAGCUGAUACAUAAUAAAUACGAAACUUUGAAAGAAGCCGUCAGAAACCGCCUCCGUUCAACGGGUAGCAUUUGUUUAACAGAUGUAUGGACCCAGAUGAUGAACGUUAAAAGCUACUUGGGAAUAACAGGACAUUUCAUUCAUGACUUCCAGCUUAUGUCUUGUCUGUUGGGAGUUAUCAAGUGCGAUCAAUCGAAAACCGGUGCAUACAUAGCCGACUUACUUUUGGAUUGCUGUAAUGAUUGGGACAUCGAGCUUGAUAAUGUAUCAUGCGUUGUAACUGAUAACGGUGCGAACAUAGUGAACGCCGUGAAACUUCAAUUCGGUGAAAAACGUCACCUUCCUUGCUUUGCGCAUACAUUGAAUUUGAUUGCAAGCAAAUCUGUACCCUUGUAUAACGAAGCGUAUGGAGCAUGUCUGGACCCAGUUAUUGAUUCAGAUGAUGAAGAUGUUGACGAAUCAGAUAUCGACGAUGCUAAACAUAAUUCUCCUGAAGAAAACAUGAUUAUUUUUAUAAAAAAAAUGAAGCGAAUAAUUAAAUUUUUCAAGAAAAGUGAAACUGCAAUGAGGGAAUUGCGAAAGCUACAAGUGAUAGAUGGCAAGAAAGAAUGUCAAUGUCUUAUGCUCAUUCUGGACGUCAAAACCCGUUGGAACUCAAUCAUGGCUAUGAUUGAACGGUUCUUACUGAUAGCUGGAUACGUGUCGAGAGUAUUGCUCAUAAUUCCUAAAAGCCCCCCAAUGUUGACUUCCGAUGAAUUGUCUGUUCUUAAAGAAGUGUGCAAAACCCUUAAGCCACUUGAAAAAGUAACAACUGAGAUGUCCGCUGAAAAGUAUGUUACCUGCAGCAAGAUAAUUCCGCUAGUACGAUUACUCAAAAUCAGUUACGGUAUCAUGGAACUGGAAUCAAGGGAAGCCUUCUCAUUGAAACAAAGAAUAUUACAUUUUAUUUCGAAAUAUUUCAAGGAUAUCGAAAAAGUAAGGAUACUGGCAACCGCUACACUCCUUGACCCAAGAUUCAAAAAAAUCCAUUUCGAAAGCGCGCUAUCCGCAUCGUCUGCCGUUUUCUUUGUUGCGGAGCAAAUUAAGGAUUUGGCAAACGAAGCGGCUUCAAUAUCCAGUGAUGUUGAAAAAAAUCCCGCACGAAAUGAAUCAUUGGACGACCUAUGGUCAAUACACGAUUCAUUAGUAACGGAAGUGAAUCGUGCACAUAUUCCGGAUAGUGCUGGCGGGAUUCCGGUGGAAUUACGACAGUACCUUAAUACUCCGUUAGUGCCGAGAACCAGUGACCCGAUGCUGAUUUGGAAAGAUAUGCGAGCACAAUUCCCGAAUCUAUACAAAGUAGAGGUUAAGUACUUCUGUGUUUCAGCGACCUCAGUUCCCUCUGAAGGUUUUUUUUUGAAAGCUGGUCAAGUAUUGACCAAAACGAGAAAUCGAUUGUCAGGACCAAAUUUGGACAAAAUUCUUUUCUUAAAUUCAGUAGAUGAUACAAUGUGGUUUACCUAAACCAAUAUGACUUUAUGUACAAUUAUUAGAUUGUACGCUAGCUGCGCGAAAUGAAUAAUGAAAUUCGAAAAAGUUCUGAAAUGAGAAAUCAACUAAUUAUUUUAUUAUAAAAACGAAUAUUUUGUUCUAAUAACUAUACAGGUCGGACUCGAUUAUCCGGGGAUUCGAUUAUCCGGGGAUUCGAUUAUCCGUGAUUCGAUUAUCCGGGGAAAAUGAUUCGAUUAUCCGGGUGUUUUGAAAAAAUCAAAUUUCAACUAUAAUGUCUUAAUAUAGUGCUAAUUCGAUCAUUGCAGUCAAUAGAACGUUUUUUUCGGGCAAUUGGGGGGUCUAGGGUUAACCUCCUCUCAAAUUUUAACCUACCUCAAAAAUAGCUUAUAUAUGGGUUAUUCCGCGCAAAGUGACCAAAAAACAAAACUUGGAAUCGACCAUCAUGGAUUGGAACCAGUUUUGAAGAAACUGUUCAUUUAGAGAUAAUAUAUAAUAACCUAAAUUGUUGUGUCGUUUAAACAGCCCCUCAGUCCGUGGGAAUACUUUUAACCGUUAUGUGUCCGACGCGGAUACCUUCUUAGGUUACAAAUAAUGAAAUUUCGAUGUCUUAUCCGUAGCUGCAAAUUGAAACUGUGUGACAUCUUAGAACUUCACUAAGCCAAGCUUUUGGGAUAAUAAUGUUUUUGAUAUAGUAAGAAGGGAGUGAGGAGGGGAUCCUGAAUUUUUUACUAUGUCACAGGCCGACGUGGAUACCCGGGUACCCCCAAAACUGAAAUGCCAAUAACUAAGGUAAUUUUCAACUGAUUUUGAUGCUUUUGGGUGUUUUGGAUUCAAGAACUCAUCCACUUUUAGACUUGGUAAAAAUGAAUCGGGUUAUUCCAACCGGUUCCCGGGAAUCCGGAUUUCCGGAAGCAUGUUCCAGUGCUUGGAUACUAUUUGUGAAUUUCAAUGGAAUACUAGCAAUAUGGGUAUCAGAAUUCUUGGCAUAGCAUCAAUAGGCUGUACCUCGUGGUAUUGGAACCAUUUGGUGAUUUCACCCCGAAAUAGACAUUCCGGAGCAGGCUCCCGUAGGGCCGUGAAUGGCCAUUCCAUUCCAAUUCCAUUUUUCAAACUACCAUAGGAUCCCGCAACAAUAAAUAACAGACUUCCGAGACAAUUUAAAGAGUUUUGAUACUCAUUUUGCUAGGGCAUUAUUUAAAUUUACAAAUCAUACCCUAGUACUGGAAAAUCCGGAUUACCAAGAACCAGAUGCAUUUAUUGGAUUCAAUGUUACAGAAUCCAAAAGUGGACGAGUUCCUGAAUCUAAAACAUCUAAAAGUGUCAAAAUCGGUUAAAGGAAGCCAUAGUUAUGAGCAUUUUAAUUUGUGGGUACCCUGGUAUCCUCGUUGGCCUGUUAUAGGUGUUUUUGACACAUAACGGUUAAUUUCAACAAAUUGUUUAAAAAAAUGUUUUUCUUCGGAUUAUAUCUCUGGUACUGUUUGCACUAGAAUCAAUCAGCGAGAUAUUUUUUUUAAGAUUUGUUUAGGGAUUCCAAAAAAAAUAAAAGUUUUUAAUGCCAAUAUUGCCAAAUAUGCAACUUUUAAUUUUACACUAAAAGUACAUUUUUCUCGUAAUACAUCGGUUACUGUAGGCCACAUAAAACGUCAUUAUACCUACAUUGCUCGGUCGGUUUCUGGCUAUCUCUUGGGAUAAUGAUGACAUGCUUCUCAGGAUUCUGUUUGGGAUACUUUUCAAGAUUCUGAUCGAAGUUUUCUUAGCAUCCCAAUGGAAUCUAUUUCAGAACUUCGAUUCAAUAUUUAUUCGUAUUUCUACGGUUUUUUCUCUAAAUUUUGAUGCAGGGUUCUAGAGAAAAGCUUCUUAAAUGUCUAGUGGAAUCUUUCUCAAGAUAUAAUUCCGCUGAAGAUUAUGCUUUAUUCCAGAUACUGACAGAAUCAUGGUCCUAUUAUCAUUGGAAUCCGGUGUAAUGUUCUGAUGAAUAUCCUGCUUUGAGUUCCAGUGGACUUGCUCUUCUCCCAUUAUCCCCUUCAAUAAGUGAUUUCUGCUCAGAAUUCCAAUAGAAUCUUUAACCCGUUCGUGCCCUUCUGGUUGAUGAACAACCAUGACUAUAACUUUUGGUUCACACAAUGUCAAGUAAGGCUAAUAACUGCGACUAAGAUCUUUCAUUUGAGCACUAAAAGUAAUAAAUAUUAGCAUUAGAACAGAAGUUAUUACAAUUAAUCUGAUUUGGUUCCGCUGAAGCAGUGCUGCCAGGCAUAGUUUCUGUUAAUGGUGAAAUGAAAUUUUGGAAUAUUUUCUUAGCCUGGGAAUAUUAUUGAAAACUGCUAAAACUUUCUAAUUUAGAUUGCCCUCAAUUACCUUUUUUAUGCAAUUGCACUAGAUCGGAAGGUAAAUAUUGAGCAGCUGCAAAAGAAGCACCUAUCUUUCUUAAAUCAGGUUUUUCGUGUUUCUUGACGCCAACAGUUUUAAUGAAAAAUAGUUUUGGGACCCUAUAUGCGGUAGAAAAAAGUUGGUCAAGAAACGUCACUGGAGGUGAUUUCAAUUCUAGGGUAGCUCAAGCAAAGAUGGAUGAUAGGCUAUGUAAAGAGGGCGCCAGCAAUACUUCUCGCUGAGGCGCCCGGGAACCUGGUAGUCCUUCGCUAGUGACAAGUAUGAGUGGGACAGUUUGCGAAGACUACACGCGUAGUUAUUACCUGACAAUCCAGUAUUGGUCAACUAAAUGAUGCUACAAGGACAAGGACAAAGACCUCUUUGUGGGUGCGCAACACGCACUCUUCUAAUUAGAAUGACUAGAUAUGUUAGCUGUGCUAUGUGACACUCCACGUAAAUUAAACUGGAGCCAAAAAACAGACGACCCCCAGUUUACUUACUAACUUUAUUUUUUCUGGUAUUCGAGUAAUCGAAUCAGUUACUUCGGAAAUUCUAAGCCCUGGGUAAUCGAGUUUGACUUGUAUUGCAAAAGACACACCUUAUUAAAAAGUUUAUCUUAGUAUUCUUGUACAAAUAGCUAUAAACAACUGAUACAUAUCGUAAACUCGUUACCAAUAUGAAUAAUAAAUGAAAACCAACUGAAAAUGCAAAUCACACCCUGAAAGUCUGAAAAUCGACUAGGGCCAAAAUAGGUACAUUUACCAUAAUUAGAAAAUUUGCCCUGGUCAUUUUAUUUCCAAUUUUUCCACGAAUGAAGCUUAAAUUCAUGAAAUAACGCAAAAAAAGUUUGAUUCGAUUAUCCGGGUGAUUCGAUUAUCCGGGGUGAGAUUUUUUUCAAAUCCCCGGAUAAUCGAGUCCGACCUGUAUUACUCUUUUCAGAACUUUUUCGAAUUUCCUUAUACAUUGGGAUUCAAAUACAGUUCUUUAAAAACACGCGCUUUGCAUCCAAUAUUUAUUAAUUUAAUCAUCUAGAUAAUCGAAUAAUCGAUUAAUUUGGAACGAUUAAUCGAGCUAAUCGAUCACCGCAGAAAAAUUAAUCGAUUGAUUAAUCGAUUAAUUUAAAAAAUCGGACAUCCCUAUCUGGCAUCGCUGGUUGCAUGUCGCAUGCAAAGAGAAUAGGGAAAGAGACGAAUAGUGUGAAGCCAAAAAUACCUUAUUAAGCAGAUCAAUCGUGCAAUGUAAAUAAACAUUACUCAUGCCUAAGUUGGAGGAGAUAAGUAUUGUACAUGUAUUUAAAAAGAAAUUUCAAUUUUCGUCAGAAUUUGGUUCAAUCGUGAUUGUGAGGUGCAUUCUAGAGUAUAUGUAUGAGUAAAAACAAGCUUUAGAAUUAUUUCAUCUCUUUGUUUCGAAAUGCGCAUCGUUUGAUAAACAAAUCCAACGAUCGACAUACGGUUUGUUUUCAAAAUAUAAUAGGAGUCCAGCCCCGUGAAAACUGAUUGUUGCCUGAAGCUGCCACCAAGUGCCAGUAGCGCUAGCUACGUUUCAAAUGUUCAAGGUCUGUUCACAUGAACUGUAUAACACUGUUUAAAAGUUGGAUUCAAAACAAGUAAUUAAUAACAAUAUAUGAGAAAUCACGCUUUCUCUUGCAUCGCUUCUUCUCCACAAAAUCCGAACGCUUUUAUCACCUGAGUACCAGUUAAGCACGUCGAAAUGUAGUUUGUUUGCAUUCGAUAAGUUUCAGGUCGCGUUAACAACAUUGGCUCGUAGCGAUAUGAACGUUGCUUAAAGCGCGUUCGCUGUCAUUUUUGACAACUAACCGAGCCAGAAAGCCAGCUUAUGUUGGCUUCACUCAUUUUUCAAAGAAACGUCAAAACAUUCACCCUCUUGUAGGAGUCAUUUAAAGUGCUGCCUGUGGAAGCGGUUGCCAAAAUUCUAGUGUUGAAAUCAUCAUAAAGGGAGUGUUGCCGUUUUGACUGAUUUUCACUCUUCGACUCUUUCCCUAUUCUCUUUGGUCGCAUGCAUUAAUGUUAUACACGGAAACAAAAAACUACCUAAAAUUGAGUUCCUUUGACUCAAUCUCGUGGUAUCGUGGGGGAACUUAAAAUUAGGUAAACCGUGUUGAAGGUAGUUUCCAUUUAACCACGGCAAAAAUUACAACUCAUUGAUAGGUUUUUUAUACUCAAAUUUAAGUUGAAUUUACCUAAUUUUGAGUUCACCCCAAACAACUCAAAUGUAACUUCCCCCACGGAAGGUCUCGACUGAGUCGAACCUCUCGUUUUGUUUUUGACAACACUAAUAAGUGCGAAAGCGACGCACAACUCAAAAGUAAGUUAAAAGAACUUUUCUGCAGGUUGUUUUAUUUAACCGUGUAGUCAAAACAACAAAAUGGCGCGCACUGCAAAAUUCCGCACUCACCCAAUCUCAACACGGGCGAAAAUGAAACGCCAAGUAAAACGUCACUGCCAAUCGGGUCAUUCGAACAGAUCGAGCUCUAGUAAAAUCGAGCAUUCGAGUAAGAUUUCAUUCCGCAUUCAGUCUGAAACAAGAGGGUGAAUGUUUUGACGUUUCUUUGAAAAAUGAGUGAAGCCAACAUAAGCUGGCUUUCUGGCUCGGCUAGUUGUCAAAAGCGACAGCGAAUGCGCUUUAAGCAACGUUCACAUUGCUACAAGCCAAUGUUGUUAACUCGCCCUGAAACUUUUCGAAUGCAAACAAACUUCAUUUUGAUGUGCUUAAUUGGUACUCAGGUUAUAAAAACGUUCGGAUUUUGUGGAGAAGAAGCGAUGCAAGAGAAAGCGUGAAUUCUCAUAUAUUGUUACUAAUUACUUGUUUUGAUCCCAAAUUUUAAACAGUUCAUGUGAACAGACCUUAAACAUUUGAAACGUAGCGGAUGCAGGUGUGCACAUUUAUUCAUGUGCGAGAGUGCGGUUGUCAUUUUUCUUUGAUGAAGCCGAAAAAACAAGAGGAUAUGAAGAAGAAAAGCACAAACAGUUUACGUUGCCUCGACGUAGCGGGCCCUUUUGUUGCCAUAAGUUUUGUUUCGGUUCGGUCAUAGUUAAUUCAAUCGGUUUUUUUCGAGGCAAAAAGUGUCCAUAAGUGUUCCACAGAGAACAGACAUCCAUGAUCGAACAAAAAUGUUUAAAAAACGUGUGUAAACAUUUGAAUUAAUAUACGAUAAACACUAGCGCCGCCACACCAACCUAUCCCAACUAUCCGUCAAAUCCAUUCCAGUACCGGUUCGAAAUCCUAAAUGGAUUCAGUAUGGAAUCUUGCUCAAAGAAAACAACCGAUUCCGACUCUAUCGGUUGAUGCAUUUGAGCUGGAAUUCAUGCUGGAAGUCCGAAUCGGUUCCGGACUAGUUUGGGUAGAGGAAUAACCGCUGUCAAUUCUGUCGAACUCAGCCACAAAAACACAUGACAACAGUAGCGCACCUGGUUUGGAUAUCCCAACUACCUUCGAAACCGUUAGAGAUUUUACACAAGUUGAAUGCUGAAGAUGGACGUCUGUUCUCUGUGAGUGUUCUAAUCGAUAGAUCCGAAAUGAAGCUCGGCCUUUUCCCACUUUUCAUCGUGCGCCAAAACAUCAGGAUGCUCGUUCGGAUGUUGAUAUUGACUUCAAGGGCCCGGCCGCCAUGCUUAAUUUUGCAAGUAUAAUACUAAUACACUCAAAAGUGUCAAAUGUUCCAACCUUUCUCUCCAUCUUGAGUUGUCUCGUCUUUUGUCUUAGAUCUAGUGAUGUCUGAUUUUUGCAAAUAAUCGAUUAUACGUUAAUCGAAUCUCAAGUACUUUUUCAAAUAGACGUAUGUAACAUUUGGUAGAAACUAGAAAAACUUUAGAAAGAGAACUGCGGAGACUCCAUUUUGGAUCGAUUGGAUUCGCGUUUAGAUGUCAAAAAACGAAUCCAAUCGAGCAUUUCCUAUCCUUAUAACAUUGGACGUGUUGCCAUACAAUGCCGGGGCAUACGUUGCCAAAAAUGCUGUUUUUCUUUCCGCAGUUCUUUUACUAGAGUUUUUCUAGUAGAAACCGAGAGAAACGGGUUUGAAGUUUCUAGCGGUAAUUUUGAAUCCCAUUUCAAAAAUACUGGAGAAAUUCCAUCAUCGCUUUUAUAUAUAACACUGUUUUCCCCACAUUUUUAUGUAACGUAACAUUUCUACACGUUUGAUGCGUGUAUCAUGUUAAAACUGAGAAAAAAUUUGAUGCGUCUUUUCGAUUUCUUGACUGUGACAUACACCGUCAUAAUCGCCGUCUUGAAAUUUAUGAUGUUAGAUACGUCAAGCCAGAUUAGACUGUUUCUUUGAGCGUUACAACCUAGGUUACAACUAUUGAAUUUGAUUGAAUGAGCAAUUCUUGAUUACUUUUUCAAAUUGACAUAUGUGACUUUUGGUAGAAACCGAGAGAAACGGAAAACAUUACUUUCAUGCGGAAAUUUGUGUCCUAUUUAAAAACUACUGAUAAAAUUCCAACAUCGAUUUCACACUCACAAUUCAUUUUCACACAAUUUUAUGUGACGUAAUCGUUUUAACCUUUUGUUGCAUGUAUUAUGUUGAAAUUGACAAAAACUCAUGAUACGCCAUUUUGAUUUCUUACCUGUAUCAUACACUGUUAGAUUCGUCUUUUUGAUACGUAUGUUAUAUAAUACGUCAGUCGGAUUAGACUGUUUCUACAAUUUGAAAACGGUUACGUCGUUCGGUUUGUACAAUACUUUGAAACUUAAACACCGCUGUGGAGGAAACCGGAGUAGCUGACGGCGCUCAAUAUCAUUUACUUCCGGGCUCAGUAUUACAACUUAUCCUUCAAGAUGGAAUGUCUCAUGUGUUCUUCGAUUGCGUUGGAAUGUUUGUGUUCCUCUUUUGGAGGGCCAUGCAAGGCCUUUAAAAUCGCUUUUUCAACGAAUCCGAAAUUUUUACGGCCAACUAACCUGUUCCGAUCACGUACAAAAACUUUCAAAUCAUCGAUAAAAUAAAUUCUCGGCAGUAGUUUGCUCACCUAUUAUAUAUUCCUCGGCGAACUCAAAUCGGUUUCCGUAAUAUUGGGUUGGAUCCCACCCGUCUCUUUCUCGUACAAGUUAAUCUUGUGUUUCAGUCCGGCGAUAUCCACUUAAUUUUCCGGCACGAUUCGCGAACAGUAGGUCAGCUUAUGAACAAAGUGCUGAUAUUUCACGAUGUUCACGACUGCAGGGUGACCGUGUCACCUGUUCUCGAGGAUACUUCGAGAAAGCAACUGCAUCGAAAGUCCGCGUUAUAUUAUACUCUUACGAACACAGAACUGAGAAAGCAAAACAAAAGCGCACGCGAAAUUUUAGUGACGUAUGUCGACUGGAUUCAAAACCGUUAUUCCAGUAACUUACGUCGCUUUCAUGAACGCGUAUGUGCGCUUUCCGUACAGCUCGUCAAAUUGACAGAUGCGUCGCUUCGUUUUCAAUAUGGUGUAUCCACCAAAGUUGUAAAAAGUGUGAAUUAGGAAGUUUCGUCAUUUUGUAAAAAUAACUUAAAGCACUUUAAAUAAUACAAUAUCAUAUUUAUCUUAAAUUGGUAGGAUUUUUGGGAUAUUUGAAAUCGCUUUGUUUACAUUUUGCGACUUUCGUCCAUUUUAAAAAGUACUCGAGCAUUUUUGAGGGCUGGAUGUUGUUGGCUCGAAUCAAAACUUGUCGAAAGUAAACAAAGUUCAUUUCAUAUCGUCAACCUGGCGCCCAGGUGGUGAAAUCAACGGAGUGCUGGAGCGUUGCCAGAAAAAUUUUAUUUCCAGAUCAAAUUGUACUAAACUUCCCAGUUUAACUCAGCCGAAAUGCUGGCUGGUUCUAAUUCGUAUUCCGGCUCGGGUGACACAACCGAUUCAAGUUAGAAUGUUUAAGGGGUACCAUUUCGAUGCGGCUUAGCCGCAUAACCGAGGCCUAGAGGGCGAGGUGGCCACCGACCCGCCGUCGGAAGCAAGCGAACCUGUGACCCACUCGUUUGCCCGGCUUACUCAAACAUAGGGGCUAUCCCUAGUUUAAGUCCGACUGAGCGGUAGCGAAGUCGGACAGCACGCACAAAAGCGAUGUGGCGUAGCCACAUUGGGUGCUGGACACAAAAUAAAAUUGGCAACGCUAGUAAAAUGUAAACACAAAUGAACACUCCGGAUGAACCUAUCGUCAAUUGACAUUUCGACGAGUUUUGAUUCGAGCCAAUAAUAUGGGCCCAUUUUUGAGAGCUUGAUUCAUUCGAUUAAUCGACCAAGAUAAUCGAUUAAAAUCAAUAAUCGAUUACUUAGGCUGUGAACCAUUUGGCGAUUUAUUUUAACCUUUAGUUAAAAUUUAACAGUUCGAAAGUUAUUUUCUAUAGACUUAUCCAGCUGCGUUAGUAUUGUGCCGUUUUGACGUUUGAAUUGGGAGGAAAACAAAUCGUUUACACGGCGAAUCGGGAGGAAAACAAACCGCUUCUGGGCUUAAGGGGAGGGCGGUAGUAUAAAAAUGCGAAAUCUCAGUGUGAGUAAUUUAAACGUCAGAUAUCUCAAUUGAAUGGAAAAAAUUAGCCGAGAGAGCGAACCAUUUCAAAAGUUGACAUAUGGAGAGUUAUUUAGAAUUGACAGCUGCGAUGACCACAAGUUGGUAGAGGGGUGAACAUUCGAAAAGUAAACAUCCACAUCAUGAAAUAUCCAAACAAAUCUUAACACAACACGUUAUCGUUUCAAUCUUUAUCCCUUAAUUUUGUAUUGAAAAAUAUUGACAACAGAAAAUGGUUAUAAUAGAAAAUAGGUACAGAAAAUGUUUCCACCUUUUUAUUCUGCAUCAUGGGCAAAAUUUUAACCAUCGAGCUGUCAAAUUUAACUAUCGCUCUGUCAAUUUUAACCAUGUUCCAGAGUAGGGUUAUUUUGCAAAUAAUUUUCGAAGUGUCAGAUUUUAACUAAAAGUUAAAAAUUUCACCAAAUGGUUCACAGUAGAAAAACUCUAGAAAGAGAACUGUGGAGACUCCAUUUUGGAUCGAUUGGAUUCGCAAUCGAACAUUGCCUAUCCUUAUAACAUUGGACGUGUUGCCAUACAAUGCCGGGGCAUACGUUCCCAAAAAUGCUGUUUUUCUCUCCGCAGUUCUCUUACUAGAGUUUUUCUAGUUCACAGCAUUAGUAAAUCCUACACUGAAAAAAAUCCAAAUCUAUUUGCUUCAAACCGCUUAAAAUUCAUAUGAAGAAAUGCUAUUGUUAUCACGCGCACACAUACCUUCUAUGUGUCAACUGUAUAAACUAUGUAUGCACACACAAAAGUUAUAUAUGCAUAUUGUUAUAGAAUGGGGUUUUAUGUGCCUAAUAGUUAUGAAAUGUAAAUGUAAGAUUAAUAUUUCUUGUAAAUACAUUAGGUUUAUGUUCCAGUAAAUAGUGUCUAUAUGCCUCCGUUAAUUGCAAAAAUCUAUGUGUAAAAUCAAUAGGCAUAACGUUUACUUUUUUUUAGUGUAGUUUGUCAACCAAUAAAAAAAGGUCGCUCGAUACGCUCGACACAUUUUGAAAAAUUUGGAGAAGUCUGGUCAUAUUUUUUUGCUCCGCGACUUUCAUUUUCAAUGCCACCUUUCAUUAAUUAUGCUCUCGAUUAAUUGAUAGCGAUUAUACCGAAAGCUUGUAAUCGAUUAUUGAUUUUUCGAUUAUUUUAGACAUUAACCGAUUAUUUGCGUUAACCUCGUAAAAAAUUUAAAAAAAAAAUCAAAAACGAUGUUAGUUAGAUGGGUAAGAUUGUUGUGACAUCAGGUCAAUCCCUAUUCCCCUUUAAAAAAGCUACGUAGCAUGACAUGACCCCCUACAAAAUUCUUCCCUCCCCCAUAUAAUGCUACGUCAUUUAUGGAUGGUCCCUAAGGUUAAAUUAGGUAAACCGUGUUGAAGGUAGUUUUCCUUUAACCACGGCAAAAACCACAACUCAUUGACAGGCCUUGAAUUAUAAAUGCCUAAAUUUAAGCUGAAUCUGCUUAAUUUUGAGUAUACCUCAAACAACUCAAAAGUACCUUAUUCCAUGGAAGGCCUCGACUGAGUCGAAUCUCUCUCUUUGUUUUUGACAACACUAAUACCCGGUCAAACUAGAAAAACUCUAGAAAGAGAACUGCGGAGACUCCAUUUUGGAUCGAUUGGAUUCGCGUUUAGCUGUCAAAAAACGAAUCCAAUCGAACAUUGCCUAUCCUAAUAACAUUUGACGUGUUGACAUACAACGCCGGGGCAUACGUUCCCAAAAAUGCUGUUUAUCUCUCCGCAGUUCUCUUACUAGAGUUUUUCUAGGUCAAACCAUUCGGAAUUUGAUUCGGAAUCCUGAAUGGAGUCAGUAUGGAUUCCAAAUCACAUGCAACAACCGAUUCUGAGUCGGAAUCGGUUGUUGCAUUUGAUUUGGAAUCCAUAAUGACUCCAUUCAGAAAUCCGAACCGGUUCCGAAAUGAGUUUAACUUCCCGGUCAAACCAUUCGGAAUUUGAUUCGGAAUCCUGAAUGGAGUCAUUAUGGAUUCCAAAUCAAAUGCAACAACCGAUUCUGAGUCGGAAUCGGUUGUUGCAUUUCAUUUGGAAUCCAUAAUGACUCCAUUCAGAAAUCCGAACCGGUUCCGGAAUGAGUUUAACUGGGUUAGAGCACUCUAGUUCCCAGUUAAACUCAUUCCAGAACUGGUUCGGAUUUUUGAAUGGAGUCCCUCUAAGAACGGUUGGUUUCAAAAUCGCCCAAUGAAGGACGUUCAUUGGACCAAUUUGGACAACGUCCAAAUAACCGUUCAACGAACGUCCAUCGUUGGACCCGUGUUGAACGAUUUUGAAACAAUUUUUUGGACGUCUCAGUGGGGUCAUUAUGGAUUCCAAAUCAAAUGCACCAACCGAUUCCGACUCAGAAUCGGUUGUUGCAUUUGAUUUGAAAUCCAUGAUGACUCCAUUCAGGAUUCCGAAUCAAAUUCCGAAUGGUUUGACCGGGUUAGAGUGUGGCCAAGAGGCCAUGACGUAUCCAAACGAACAUGGAAUUUGACGUAAACACAAUAGAAAUACGUCAAAUUUCAUGUUUGUUUGGAUACGUCAUGGCCUCUUGGCCACACUCUAACUAGAGUGCUCUAGUUUAACUGGGUAAGUGCGAAAGCGACGCAAAACUCAAAACUAGAAAAACUCUAGAAAGAGAACUGCGGAGACUCCAUUUUGGAUCGAUUGGAUUCGCGUUUAGCUGUCAAAAAACGAAUCCAAUCGAACAUUCCUUAUAACCUUAUAACAUUGGACGUGUUGCCAUAGAAUGCCGGGGCAUACGUUGCCAAAAAUGCUGUUUUUCUCUCCGCAGUUCUCUUACUAGAGUUUUUCUCAGCCCUCUGUCAAGGACGACGUCUCUGUACAGUCAGCAUCACUGCCAUGAAAGGCAAAACAUUGAUUUUAAACCGAAUGAUUAGAAGCUGUAUUUAGUUACAAAAUGUCGAUAUUCUGAAUGAUAUGAUAUUAAAUCAUCCCACAAGAUGCAAAACGUCGUGUGGAAUGCUUGAAUAUCGAGCAUAGUGCCGAACAUAAUUCUUUGUUUGGGGCUUUAUAGCUAUAACGCCCCAUAUAUGUCGGUCGCUGUCAAACUCCAUAUGAUGGUAUAGGGUUGCCAGGAGACUGGUUUUUCUAGUUUACACUUAGAUCCAAGAUGGGAGAAAGAUGGGAACAUUUGACACUUUUGAGUGUAUUAGUUUAAUACUUGCAAAAUUAAGCAUGGCGGCCGAGGCCCUUGAAGUGAACUAACGAGCAUCCUGAUUCUUUGGUGCACGAUGAAAAGUGAGAAAAGGCCGAGCUUCACCUCAGAUCUACCUAUUAGAACACUUAGGGACACUUUUUACUUCAAAAAAACCGAUUAAAUUAACUAUGACCGAACCGAAAGAAAACAUGGCAACAGAAAGGCCCACUACAUCAUUUGUUUGUGCUUUUCUUCCAGCUCCUGUCAAGGACGACGUCUCUGUACAGCCGGCAUCACUGCCAUGGAAAUCAAAACAAUAAUUUUGAAUCGAAUGAUUAAAAGCUGUAAUUAGUUAUUAAAUGUUGAUUUUCUGAAUAAUAUGGUAUUAAAUUAGGGUGACCAUAUCAAGCGAGUAAAAAACCAGGACAGUUCAAAGGGAACUACCUCCAUCCAUGCCCUCUUAAUCGAUUGUGCCUUCUCCCUAGAUUUUCGACAGCUAAAAAGUUCUAGGUACUGGCAGGCAGAGCUACGGCAGUAAAACAUUUCUGGGGUCAGGCAGGCACAGCUUAGCCAAAAAGUCUUUCAUGAGAAUUUUUCUUUUUUCUUCAGAUUUGCACAGACACAGUUUUUGUUUCAUACACGCAGCGAAAUUUCGGAUGGUUAAACCAACAAAACGCAUUUUUGAUUUCAAUCGGCAGCCCAUUCGAAACUUAUUGAUUGUUGAAUAUUCAUUAUUUUAUUAUUGAAUCAACAAUAUUAUUUUUAUUCCAACCAAAUUUUCUUUUCUAUUAAUAUUGUAUAGUAGUAAAUAAGCGUGUAUUUUUCAUCUGUCAGUGAACUACCAUAUAGCAAAGGCCCAUUUUAAUUGUCAAUUGUAAAUUUUCAUUGAAAAAAACUUUGCAGUCCAAUUAUGCAAACCAUUUGCCAGCAUAUACAAAACAAUUGCAGAGCCGGACACCGGCUAUACUCUCUGAACAAACGCAACAUGAUGAAAGUACAUCAUUGGCAAUUCAAAAUAUAGCAUGCUGAAAGUACAUCGAUGGCAACCCAAAGUGAAAACUAAAAAAGAUUUUUUAUUUUACUAUUUAUAAAAAUAUACAAAUAUAUCAAUA